UCAGGCGCAGGAGAAUCAAACCGAGUGUAAUGAAGUUAUUUAAUAACGAUAAAUGAAACAUACUCCAAACACUAAAUGUAAUCAAUAAACAAAGUGGGUACGAGUAACAAACAAUCUCUGACAAAGACAUGAAGGGAAACAGAGGGUUAAAUAGACAACAGGUAAUGAAUGGGAUGGAAACCAGGUGUGUAGGAAGACAAGACAAAACCAAUGGAAAAUGGAUCAAUGAUGGCUAGAAGACCGGUGACGUCGACAGCGGAGCACCGCCCAAACAAGGAGAGGCUUGGCCUUAGAAGUCGUGACAAAUGCGUUAUAAUCAGGUACUGUGUUUGGAUUUAUGAGGGGCCCAGGACUGACUUUGAGAAACUAUUUCAUCUGACUCUGGGGAAGUAGAUAAAGUGCCUCAUUGUCAAAAUCCCAAAGUAUCCCUUUUAAGCGUCGAGAGGUUUCUUGCCUCGGAUGGCUCUGAAGGCGCCCAUCCCACGUCAGGCCUCAGCCUGAUAGUCAGGUUUUUACGCCCAGCCGGCUCGUCAGGCUGCUAAGCGUCCACCGUAUCAUCGGGCUCCCACGCCUCAGCGGGAUUGACAGGCCUUCAUGUCUCAGCUGGAUCGUCAGGCUCCUAUCCCUUAGCCGGUUCUUCGGGAUUUCACUCCCAGCCUGGUUGUCCAGCGCCCGAUUGGUGCUUCAGAGCAGUCCGUCACGCUUGCCCAGGUGGGAUGCCAGGUGGCACCUCUGGGGGGUGUACUGUCACGCCUGCUCCCGCUCUUCCUCCCUGGCACUCAGCAUUAAUUGUCACACACCCGUGUGCUGACGCUGUUCCUGUCUUGUUUCCAUGUCUGUUCCAAUUAAAUGUUUGACUCCCUGUACCUGCUUCUCUACUUCAGCGUCAGUCCUAACUUAAUCUGAAUAUUGUCUUCAAUAAAUGUGUGCUAUAAAGAUGCUAUUCAUGUAUUGCUCAGUAUACUAACAUUUUGUUAAAUAAGUGCCUCCUUAUAAUGCAUUGUUGAUAAAGUUUCUAAUUAAAACACCCUUGGAGAUUAUGAUAAAGUUUA